rnacentral:rRNA from 1 species
GAUGAACGCUGGCGGCGUGCCUAAUACAUGCAAGUCGAGCGAACAGAUGAGGAGCUUGCUCCUCUGACUUUAGCGGCGGACGGGUGAGUAACACGUGGAUAACCUACCUAUAAGACUGGGAUAACUUCGGGAAACCGGAGCUAAUACCGGAUAAUAUAUUGAACCGCAUGGUUCAAUAGUGAAAUACGGUUUUGCUGUCACUUAUAGAUGGAUCCGCGCCGCAUUAGCUAGUUGGUAAGGUAACGGCUUACCAAGGCAACGAUGCGUAGCCGACCUGAGAGGAUGAUCGGCCACACUGGAAAUGAGACACGGUCCAGACUCCUAAGGGAGGCAGCAGUAGGGAAUCUUCCGCAAUGGGCGAAAGCCUGACGGAGCAACGCCGCGUGAGUGAUGAAGGUCUUCGGAUCGUAAAACUCUGUUAUUAGGGAAGAACAAAUGUGUAAGUACCUAUGCACGUCUUGAAGGUACCUAAGCAGAAAGCCACGGCUAACUCCGU